CCUACGGGUGGCAGCAGUAGGGAAUCUUCCACAAUGGGCGAAAGCCUGAUGGAGCAACGCCGCGUGGGUGAAGAAGGUCUUCGGAUCGUAAAACCCUGUUGUUAGAGAAGAAAGUGCGUGAGCGUAACUGUUCACGUUUCGACGGUAUCUAACCAGAAAGCCACGGCUAACUACGUGCCAGCAGCCGCGGUAAUACGUAGGUGGCAUGCGUUAUCCGGAUGUAUUGGGCGUAAAGGGAACGCAGGCGGUCUUUCAAGUCUGGUGUGAAAGGCUUCGGCUUAACCGGCGUAGUGCAUUGGAAACUGGGAGACUUGAGUGCAGAAGAGGAGAGUGGAACUCCAUGUGUAGCGGUGAAAUGCGUAGAUAUAUGGAAGAACACCAGUGGCGAAAGCGGCUCUCUGGUCUGUAACUGACGCUGAGGUACGAAAGCGUGGGUAGCAAACAGGAUUAGAUACCCUUGUAGUC
rnacentral:rRNA from 1 species